rnacentral:rRNA from 1 species
UGAGGCCCCAGGUCAGGCGGAUACCCGCUGA